AGGAGCCGUGUGAUGGGAAACUAUCAAGCACGGUUUUGAAGGGCGCGACCUGAAAGGUCGUUUGGUACGUGGAGCCAACUCCACUAGGGGAUUCACACCCCCUACUCUCAC
rnacentral:ncRNA from 1 species